rnacentral:rRNA from 1 species
AGAACGAACGCUGGCGGCAUGCCUAACACAUGCAAGUCGAACGAGACCCCCGUCUUCGGAUGGCGGGUCUAGUGGCGCACGGGUGCGUAACGCGUGGGAAUCUGCCCUUGGGUACGGAAUAACAGCGAGAAAUUGCUGCUAAUACCGUAUAAUGACUUCGGUCCAAAGAUUUAUCGCCAAGGGAUGAGCCCGCGUAGGAUUAGCUUGUUGGUGAGGUAAAAGCUCACCAAGGCGACGAUCCUUAGCUGGUCUGAGAGGAUGAUCAGCCACACUGGGACUGAGACACGGCCCAGACUCCUACGGGAGGCAGCAGUGGGGAAUAUUGGACAAUGGGCGAAAGCCUGAUCCAGCAAUGCCGCGUGAGUGAUGAAGGCCUUAGGGUUGUAAAGCUCUUUUACCCGGGAUGAUAAUGACAGUACCGGAGAAUAAGCUCGGCUAACUCCGUGCCAGCAGCCGC